rnacentral:rRNA from 1 species
UACAGAGGGGGCAAGCGUUGUUCGGAAUUACUGGGCGUAAAGGGCGCGUAGGCGGCCUUCUAAGUCGAACGUGAAAUCCCCGGGCUCAACCCGGGAACUGCGUCCGAUACUGGAAGGCUUGAAUCCGGGAGAGGGAUGUGGAAUUCCAGGUGUAGCGGUGAAAUGCGUAGAUAUCAGGAAGAACACCCGUGGCUAAGGCGGCUCUCUAGUACGGUACUGACGCUGAGACGCGAAAGCGUGGGGAGCGAACAGG